rnacentral:rRNA from 1 species
AGUGAACGCUGGCGGUAGGCCUAACACAUGCAAGUCGAACGGCAGCACAGUAAGAGCUUGCUCUUACGGGUGGCGAGUGGCGGACGGGUGAGGAAUACAUCGGAAUCUACUUUUUCGUGGGGGAUAACGUAGGGAAACUUACGCUAAUACCGCAUACGACCUACGGGUGAAAGCAGGGGAUCUUCGGACCUUGCGCGAUUGAAUGAGCCGAUGUCGGAUUAGCUAGUUGGCGGGGUAAAGGCCCACCAAGGCGACGAUCCGUAGCUGGUCUGAGAGGAUGUUCAGCCACACUGGAACUGGGACACGGUCCAGACUCCUACGGGAGGCAGCAGUGGGGAAUAUUGGACAAUGGGCGCAAGCCUGAUCCAGCCAUACCGCGUGGGUGAAGAAGGCCUUCGGGUUGUAAAGCCCUUUUGUUGGGAAAGAAAAGCAGCAGGUUAAUACCCCGCUGUUCUGACGGUACCCAAAGAAUAAGCACCGGCUAACUUCGUG